rnacentral:misc_RNA from 1 species
ACAAACUAUUGUUUGUGGUUCUUCUUAUGGGUAUUAUUUAGAUCCAAUCAUGGGCGGAUGGGCCAGACCUGAGUCUCAGUCCAAGCCUGGCCCAUCCAAAAUAAAUGAAAAACAUUUUAAAAUUAAAAGGGAUAUUUUUAAUAUAAAAAUAUUAAAUAUAGUAUUUAUAUAUAAAAACAUAUUUUUAAUAUAGAACACUAUAUUUCAGGCCAGGCGCAGGCCACCUAAAUCUCAUCCAAGCCUGGCCUA